UUAAGUUCAGCGGGUAAUCCCGUCUGAUUUGAGGUCAUGUAGUAAAGUAAGUUUGCCCGAGGGGGCGAUUGGAAGCAGACCCUUUAAAACGCGAGGCCCAGGAGACGCAGAUAUUUGACUAUCACGCCGGGGGGCCAACACUUGGAUCCCGCUAAUGCUUUUAAGGAGAGCCGAUCAGCCAGGGACCGGCAACCCCCAAA
rnacentral:misc_RNA from 1 species